UACAGAGGUCUCAAGCGUUGUUCGGAUUCAUUGGGCGUAAAGGGUGCGUAGGCGGCGCGGUAAGUCGGGUGUGGAAUCUUGGAGCUUAACUCCGAAACUGCAUUCGAUACUGCCGUGCUUGAGGACUGGAGAGGAGACUGGAAUUUACGGUGUAGCGGUGAAAUGCGUAGAUAUCGGGAGGAACACCGGUGGCGAAGGCGGUUCUCUGGGCCUUACCUGACGCUGAGGAGCGAAAGCGUGGGGAGCAAACAGG
rnacentral:rRNA from 1 species